GUUGGAAAAAGAAACAUGAAGAGUGUCUGCUAUUGUCAUUCAUUGCUGCGAUCCCUCAGGGUUCUGGAAUUGUUUGCUUCCUGAAGAGUGUGCUGCUUACUGACGCAGGCCGUCCAGAUGCCCAAGGGGAGUGUCUCCGGGUUGCAGAUGUGCUCUAAGCACCUUCCCUGGAAAUCACAGAACUUCAGACCCCCUAAGGAAGGCGAAAAGCUCCCUGAGGAAUCGUGGUGGGGUUCUGGAAACCUGAAGGCCUGCGGCCACAGGCAGUGCUGCUUAGGUGAACUCUCCUCGCAGGAGCUGAAGGCCCGGACUCCAUGGUCUUCUGGGCCUUUCCUCACAGGAGUGGUUGGGUAUGUGGAGUGAAGGGGUGAGGAGGGAAGUGGAGGUGGGGGACGUGAGGGGCUGGUGUUGAGGGCUUGCCCUUUCUGGGCCUUUCCCUCUCUUGCCUUCCCCUUGGUGCUGGUCCCGCCCCCGGGUGCCGGCUGAAGGGGCAGGGCUCCCAGCUAGGGCCCACCCAUGGGCGGCUCAAGGGCCGGGGAAGGGAUGGAGGCCUGGGACACUAGCAAUGGGAGAGAAGGGGAAGUUCCUUCUAGAUCUGAGCGGGGGAGAGAGCGGGGACUUGUGCUAACUGCAGGUGUUCCAUGGGGGACGUGGAGGACGGGGAAUGGGAGUGUCAGGCCCUGCCUGCAAAUGACAGGGUGAGAACUGGAAGAGGAUGGCGAUGAGGAAAAGGAAGGCCACGACGGCCGACGUUGGUUGGGUUUCCUGGGUGCAGGGCGGUGCGACAGAUGAGAGGACUGUCAUCCUGUCCCCCUCCUCAUGGCUCUGGCCAGUGGGCAUUGCCGUUGUCUGAAGAUGAGAGAGUUGGGACUCAGGGGUCCGAGCCAGCUCGCCCAAGGCCAUGGCCAGCGGGGCCAGGGGAGAGCGCCCCUUGCCUGGCCUCCCUCCGACAGCCACCACAGCCCCUCACGCAGCACCCCCCCCCCCGGAAGGCAGGGGCAUCCAAACCUGACGACACCGCCCCUUAUUUCCAUGAGCUUACAGUCCAGUGAUGUUUCCAGAAGACCUCCUUUCCGCUUCUUCACUGCGUCGAGUCCAUCCCAUCUGACACCAGAGGCCUGUCCAGGAGGCCUGUCCCGGCCUGACUUUCCUGAGAGCAGGGCCAAGACAAAGGCGCGAACCCAGGAGGCUGCCGCCUGCCCUUCACGGUAUGCAAAUCUAUGUAACAGCAGACUAUACACCGGAGCCCAGAGCGAACCAGCGGACAUCUGAGACUGCCGGGGCGAGCCCUAGAAGGGGAUGAUCACCGCGGCGGUGGAUAGUGAUUUGGAAAGCUGACUCAGGUCACGGAGGAUGCGGGCUUGGCCCUGAGCGCCUGAUCCAGGCCUCCAAAAGACAACU
rnacentral:lncRNA from 1 species